UUCUUCUUCCUUUCCAAUGUUCUGCAGUGAAACAAAGAGCUGAAUUUUCCAAAAAGCCACCAGGGCUCUUUUUCGGGAGCUUCACCUCCUAAGGCCACUGAGAAAGUUACCACCUGAAUAAAUGUCAUCAGCUGUCAUCCUGGUAGGGAUGGAGACCAAAAGCAUUGUUGCCUCUUCGAGGGGCACAGACAUGGUGAGCAGCUGGUGUGUCGCUGGUGAGUUGUUAUUCACCAGCCUGAUUGACCCAUUCAUGCCAUGUGUGGACCAAGCAGUGCUGGAUCCUGCAGGAGUACGGCAGCCCUGGAUGCUCACCAACCUCUGACCACCCAGACCUUUGUAUCCCCCUUGUCCGUGCCAAGGGAGGUAGCACACAGCAAGGACAUCGCCGCUGUGCAGCCUCCCAAAGCCCUGCUGGCUGGAAGAGCCUUUUCCCAACGAGAAGAAACAAAUAGAAAAGUGCCGUCACACUUCCUACAUCGCUUCCAACUGAGUGACUAGUAAUGAGCACCAUGUUUGCAGAAAGUUGACCAAUUCUGCUGAGUUUUGCCCACUGCCGUACUUCAUCAGAUGCUAUUGCACAGGUCUUCUGCGCUACAGGAGGCAGAGAUUGCCUGUCCCACCGUGUGUCCUUCCUUACCAGUUCACAAAGCAGAUGAUAAAUAACUAAUCAAAGAAUUAAGCUGGAAUGAGUGGAAGUUAGCGAAACACGAGCCAUGCCUUGCUGGCCCUUCGCAGGAUCCCUUUGCUGGAGAAGAAGAGAAAUGCCACAGCGUGACAGAUCCUCCUUCCCAGCCGGGGCUGUGUGUGUGAGCUGGGGGGCUCUGCCUGUGGCCGGGCACACGGGGUCUGGACAGACAGACAGACAGCACGGCUGCUGGGGGAGAGGGUCCCACAGAGGAACGUGGGUGUUUGCUGAUGGUACCUGAUGAGGAGGAUGGCACAAACUCACAAGGAGCUUCAGGACAUUUUAGUGAAAGGACCUGGAAGAUUGUCAGCACACAGACGAUCAAAACCAGCUGCUGAGCAUGGGCUGCCAAGCAUCCAGCGCUGCUGCUGCUCAGCUUCCCCCCGGAGUGCCCAGGGAAGGGAGGUGCAGGAGCUGGAUCUGGCCACCCCCCCCCCUUCUGCAGACAUGUCCUACCUACGUGGAAAUCGGUGGCCAUCAGUGGGACAUGAAGCCAUCCUCACUCCAGCAGCAGGGAAGGAAAACUCCCAGCGGUUGAGGAGUUUGUGUGGAGACACCAAGCAAAGCCAUGUCAGAUACCUGGGAAGUUCCCGCUCUCCUCAGCCAACACGUCAGAGUUUGUCUUGAAAGAUUUCCUUUCACAGGAUGGGAGCGCCAGAAGAAAGAGACACUGCUGGUCUGUUUAAACGACUGGAAGUUUCUCUAAAAGCAAAAGCUGGCUGUUUCUAAUAACAAGUCAUCAAGUAAGUCAAUACAAAUGAGAAGAGAUCCAAAAUGCAAGGAUUUCCUCUUUUCACAAGAAUAAAAGAUAAAUACAACACUGAAGAAAGAAACUUGAGCUUCCGAUAGUGGAAAUCGUAGAGGAUUCAAGACUGGAGCACUCACUGGCCAAUUAUGAAAGUACUCAGACUUUCCACAGGUCUUCAGCCCAAGCUAUUCUAAUUACACGCCUGUUGGCGACAGCAUGCCACCAGGGAGGCAAUAAAUAAGUCAUAACAUGCAUGGGACCUGGCACACAUACCUUUUCAGCACAGAGAGAUCAUCCUUCACAAAGUGAUGCAGGCCAUCUGGGCAAAUGAAAUAUGCAAACCUGAGACCCCAAGAAAGAGUAAA